AUACUUACCUGGAGGGGAGAUACCAUGAUCAUGAAGGUGGUUUCCCCAGGACAAGGCUCAACCAUUGCACUCUGGGAGUGCUGACUCCUGUGAUUUCUCCAUAUGUGGGAAACUUGACUGUAUAAUUUGUGGUAGUGGGGGACUGUGUUUGUGCUCUCCCAUU